rnacentral:rRNA from 1 species
GAUGAACGCUGGCGGCGUGCCUAAUACAUGCAAGUCGAACGCUUCACUUCGGUGAAGAGUGGCGAACGGGUGAGUAAUACAUAAGUAACCUGGCAUCUACAGGGGGAUAACUGAUGGAAACGUCAGCUAAGACCGCAUAGGUGUAGAGAUCGCAUGAACUCUAUAUGAAAAGUGCUACGGGACUGGGAGAUGAUGGACUGAUGGCGCAUUAGCUGGUUGGUAGGGUAACGGCCUACCAAGGCGACGAUGCGUAGCCGACCUGAGAGGGUGACCGGCCAAACUGGGACUGAGACACGGCCCAGACUCCUACGGGAGGCAGAAGUAGGGAAUUUUCGGCAAUGGGGGAAACCCUGACCGAGCAACGCCGCGUGAAGGAAGAAGUAAUUCGUUAUGUAAACUUCUGUCAUAGAGGAAGAACGGUGGAUAUAGGGAAUGAUAUCCAAGUGACGGUACUCUAUAAGAAAGCCACGGCUAACUACGUGCCAGCCGCCGCUGUAAGAC